AAACAGUAUGCAAAACUUUCCAUUUUUUUCGCACUCAAAAGCCCGCUUUCCAGGGCUCUUUUCCUUCCCCUUUCGACCGCGCUCCGGAGACCGUGGAUAUUCCCUCGCAAUUGUCGCAAGCAUAUGGAAGAUUCCCCCAGUUUUAUCUCCCUCGGGAUCUCACUUUAUUUUCACUAGUUUUAUUGAAAUCUUUGAAUUUCUGUCAGCGAUGCAAUCGCCCACCGGUCAAGUUCCCGCGUUUGACCGGUAAACCUCCAGCCAGCUCAUGCUCGAAGGCCAUUCUCUUAAGCAGUUCGCUUCUCAUCGUCGUAUUUAUACUCGAUCAAAAUUAAUCUCAUUUAUCAACUCAAAGUCACUUUCGCUUCCGAAGGUUUUUGCCAAUCGCAUCAUAAGACACGGAAUUGUAAUUAUUUUCAAAUCUUCGUGUCGUCGAACGUUAUUUGUGUUUGCUCAAACUGUACUUUCGCAGUGGAUUAAACUUUCUCUCUCUUCGCACGAACCUGGCAAUCGGAGAAGCGAGAAUUGGCAACUGAAAAAUCAAUUUUGCAAAGCUGUAUCAGACUCGAUAGAUUUCAGCGGAGCGUGAUACACCGUAAAACAAGCAAUGAAAAUCGUGGCGCUUCGGCAGUGUUUUAGUGCGCGACCGAAAUAAUGAGGGGGCGGAAAAAGUGGUUGGCUGUUAGCGAAUGAUGCCCGCCGUAACAAUCGAUCCAAUCACGUGAAACUCCGUACACACUCGCUUUGUGGAACGCAGUAAAAAAGGGGAUCGAUCGCGUGUAUCGUGAAUUUGUAAAAUGUCCCGAUAUGAUAACGGCUCCUCGUCAAUGAGAUUUCAUCGAUCGAUAUGUGCGACUCCUCCGUUACACAGAGAGCUCUUUCAGCACCGAGAUUGUGAGUUCAAGACGGAGAAGGGAAAAAAGGCCGUUUGUGGAGAGAGGCGUCGAUAAGUGUGAGGAAAAAAGAUAAAUUAGGAGCCCCGGAGGGAAGAUUUAUU